AUUGAACGCUGGCGACAUGCCUUACACAUGCAAGUCGAACGGCAGCACGGGUGCUUGCACCUGGUGGCGAGUGGCGAACGGGUGAGUAAUACAUCGGAACAUGUCCUGUAGUGGGGGAUAGCCCGGCGAAAGCCGGAUUAAUACCGCAUACGAUCUACGGAUGAAAGCGGGGGACCUUCGGGCCUCGCGCUAUAGGGUUGGCCGAUGGCUGAUUAGCUAGUUGGUGGGGUAAAGGCCUACCAAGGCGACGAUCAGUAGCUGGUCUGAGAGGACGACCAGUCACACUGGGACUGAGACACGGCCCAGACUCCUACGGGAGGCAGCAGUGGGGAAUUUUGGACAAUGGGCGAAAGCCUGAUCCAGCAAUGCCGCGUGUGUGAAGAAGGCCUUCGGGUUGUAAAGCACUUUUGUCCGGAAAGAAAUCCUUGGCCCUAAUACGGUCGGGGGAUGACGGUACCGGAAGAAUAAACACCGGCUAACUACGU
rnacentral:rRNA from 1 species